CUGGCCCUUAAUCAAGGCCGGCAGAUUCCUGACACUAUUGGUUUCAAGCAGAAGCCUAAAGAGAUGUCUUUCUAUGGUCUGUUGGCCAUCUCAGAACUUGGGCAGUGAAAUGGUCAAUUCAUUAGAAACCGCUUGAA
ensembl:snoRNA